rnacentral:rRNA from 1 species
AGCAGCCGCGGUAAUUCCAGCUCCAAUAGCGUAUAUUAAAGUUGCUGCAGUUAAAAAGCUCGUAGUUGAAUUUCGGGACCAAUAUUUCGGUCGUGCCUCGGUACGUACUGGCAUCGUUGGUUUCUCCCUUCUGACGAACCAUGAUGUCAUUUAUUUGGUGUCGUGGGGAAUCAGGACUGUUACUUUGAAAAAAUUAGAGUGUUUAAAGCAGGCUCACGCUUGAAUACAUUAGCAUGGAAUAAUGAAAUAGGACGUUUGAUUCUAUUUUGUUGGUUUCUAGGAUCGACGUAAUGAUUAAUAGGGAUAGUUGGGGGCAUUAGUAUUCAAUUGUCAGAGGUGAAAUUCUUGGAUUUAUUGAAGACUAACUACUGCGAAAGCAUUUGCCAAGGAUGUUUUCAUUAAUCAAGAACGAAAGUUAGGGGAUCGAAGACGAUCAGAUACCGUCGUAGUCUUAACCAUAAACUAUGCCGACUAGGGAUCGGAUGAUGUUAAUUUUUUAAUGACUCAUUCGGCGCCUUACG